rnacentral:rRNA from 1 species
GACGUAGGUGGCAAGCGUUGUUCGGAAUCACUGGGCAUAAAGCGCGCGUAGGCGGCGGAGUAAGUCGGGUGUGAAAUCCCUCGGCUCAACCGAGGAACUGCGCCCGAUACUGCUUUGCUUGAGGGCCGGAGGGGAGAGUGGAAUUCCCGGUGGAGCGGUGAAAUGCGUAGAGAUCGGGAAGAACGCCGGCGGCGAAAGCGACUCUCUGGUCGGUACCUGACGCUGAGGCGCGAAAGCUAGGGGAGCAAAC